rnacentral:tRNA from 1 species
GGGAUGUUAACUUAACGGUAAAGUGUUAUAUUCCUAAUAUAAUUUAUAUUGGUUCAAUUCCAAUACCUUCCA